rnacentral:rRNA from 1 species
UACAGAGACCUCAAGCGUUAUCCGGAAUCAUUGGGCGUAAAGCGUGCCGAUAGGUGGUUUAUUUAGUCUUGGGUAAAAGCCAGAAGCUUAACUUCUGAGUUCGUGUACUUAAGAUAACUAAUAGACUAGAGGGGCAAAGAGGUGCUUAGAACGAACGGUGUAGUAGUGAAAUGCGUUGAUAUCGUUCGGAAUACCGAAAGCGAAGGCAGAGCACUGGUUGCCACCUGACACUGCUAGGACGAAAGCGUGGGGAGCGAAUGGG